GACGAACGCUGGCGGCGUGCCUAAUACAUGCAAGUAGAACGCACAGUUUAUACCUUAGCUUGCUACACCAUAAACUGUGAGUUGCGAACGGGUGAGUAACGCGUAGGUAACCUGCCUGGUAGCGUGGGAUAACUAUUGGAAACGAUAGCUAAUACCGCAUAAUAUUGAUUAUUGCAUGAUAAUUGAUUGAAAGUUGCUAUUGCAUCACUACCAGAUGGACCUGCGUUGUAUUAGCUAGUAGGUGAGGUAACGGCUCACCUAGGCGACGAGACAUAGCCGCCCUGGGAGGGUGGUCGGCCACACUGGGAAGGGGACACGGCCCAGACUGCUACGGGAGGCAGCCGUAGGGAAUCUUCGGCGAUGGACGAAAGUCUGACCGAGCAACGCCGCGUGAGUGAAGAAGGUUUUCGGAUCGUAAAGCUCUGUUGUAAGGGAAGAACGGGUGUGAGAGUGGAAAGUUCACACUGUGACGGUAUCUUACCAGAAAGGGACGGCUAACUACGUG
rnacentral:rRNA from 1 species